rnacentral:rRNA from 1 species
AUACGGAGGGUGCAAGCAUUGAUCGGAAUUACUGGGCGUAAAGGGCGCGUAGGCGGCUGGAUAAGUCAGAUGUGAAACUCCACGGCUCAACCGUGGAGCUGCAUUUGAAACUGUUCGGCUAGAGCGUAGUUAGGGAAAACGGAAUUCCACAUGUAGCGGUGAAAUGCGUAGAUAUGUGGAGGAACACCGGUGGUGAAGUACGGUUUUCUGGGCUAUAGCUGACGCUGAGGCGCGAAAGCUAGGGGAGC